rnacentral:rRNA from 1 species
AUUGAACGCUGGCGGCAUGCUUUACACAUGCAAGUCGAACGGUAACAGGCCGCAAGGUGCUGACGAGUGGCGAACGGGUGAGUAAUGCAUCGGAACGUGCCCAGUCGUGGGGGAUAACUACUCGAAAGAGUAGCUAAUACCGCAUACGAUCUAUGGAUGAAAGCGGGGGACCGUAAGGCCUCGCGCGAUUGGAGCGGCCGAUGUCAGAUUAGGUAGUUGGUGGGGUAAAGGCCCACCAAGCCGACGAUCUGUAGCUGGUCUGAGAGGACGACCAGCCACACGGGGACUGGGACACGGCCCAGACUCCUACGGGAGGCAGCAGUGGGGAAUGUUGGACAAUAGGCGCAAGCCUGAUCCAGCAAUGCCGCGUGCAGGAAGAAGGCCUUCGGGUUGUAAACUGCUUUUGUACGGAACGAAACGGCUCUGGUUAAUACCCGGGGCUAAUGACGGUACCGUAAGAAUAAGCACCGGCUAACUACGUG